rnacentral:rRNA from 1 species
AGUGAACGCUGGCGGUAGGCCUAACACAUGCAAGUCGAACGGCAGCACAGUAAGAGCUUGCUCUUACGGGUGGCGAGUGGCGGACGGGUGAGGAAUACAUCGGAAUCUACUUUUUCGUGGGGGAUAACGUAGGGAAACUUACGCUAAUACCGCAUACGACCUACGGGUGAAAGCAGGGGAUCUUCGGACCUUGCGCGAUUGAAUGAGCCGAUGUCGGAUUAGCUAGUUGGCGGGGUAAAGGCCCACCAAGGCGACGAUCCGUAGCUGGUCUGAGAGGAUGAUCAGCCACACUGGAACUGAGACACGGUCCAGACUCCUACGGGAGGCAGCAGUGGGGAAUAUUGGACAAUGGGCCUAAUCCUGAUCCAGCCAUACCGCGUGGGUGAAGAAGGCCUUCGGGUUGUAAAGCCCUUUUGUUGGGAAAGAAAAGCAGCAGGUUAAUACCCCGCUGUUCUGACGGUACCCAAAGAAUAAGCACCGGCUAACUUCGUG